rnacentral:rRNA from 1 species
GACGAACGCUGGCGGCGUGCUUAACACAUGCAAGUCGAACGGAAAGGCCCUGCUUUUGUGGGGUGCUCGAUUGGCGAACGGGUGAGUAACACGUGAGUAACCUUCCCUUGACUUUGUGAUAACUUCAGGAAACUGGGGCUAAUACCGGAUAGGAGCUCCUGCUGCAUGGUGGGGGUUGGAAAGUUUCGGCGGUUGGGGAUUGACUCGCGGCUUUUCAGCUUGUUGGUUGGGUAGUGGCUUACCAAGGCUUUGACGGGUUGCCGGCAUGAGAGGGUGACCGGCCACAUUGGGACUGAGAUAGGGCGCAGAAUCAAAGGGGAGGCAGCAGAGGGGAAAAUUGCAGAAUGGGAGGAAGCGAGAUAGAGAAACGCGGCGUGCGGGAUGACGGCCUUCGGGUUGAAAAAAGAUUUCGCCUGUGACGAAGAGUGAGUGACGGUAAUGGGUAAAGAAGCACCGGCUAACUACGUG